UUCCAUUUGUGUGUUUGCGGUAGGAUUUGAGAAUACUCAAUCCUGCUACAGAAGUCAAGAAAAACAAACAGAGUGGAUGAAACUCAUAAGAUGUGUUAAGCUGAGAUAGUGCGUACGCAGGUGGAGGGCCGCAUUUGGCCUAAGGGACAUUGUUUGCUGACCUCUGCUCCAGGGUUGGCCAGACUCAGUUUCUAGCUGAGCUCCAUGUUUAACCGCAUUACCUUGGGAGUUACGGUUUAGUUCAUCCAUCUGACUAACCUUGCAGCCAUUGCCUUGAGUUGGAAAUUUCCAGGAAAUUGUACAGUAACAAGAGCUGGACGGCAGUGAGGGCUAAGAUCACUGAUGUUUUCGGAAGCACGAGCCUACAAGAGCACCCAGCCUGGCUGGCAGCUCACAGAGGGGGCCUGGGCUUGGAGCGACGGGCUACUUCGCUUAGAGAGGAGUGUGGGCCUGAAGAGACAUUUUAGGAACCAG